GCCGUGGUGGUUCACUGGUAGAAUUCUCACUUUUCAUGCAGGAGACCUGGGUUCGAUUCCCAGCCAACGCA
rnacentral:tRNA from 1 species